UUGUAAUUAGUGUAUUGUAGCACAUGAGGUUUUGAAUCUUGGGGAGACGGAUUAUUCGUAUUAUGAA
rnacentral:tRNA from 1 species